rnacentral:rRNA from 1 species
AUUGAACGCUGGCGGCAGGCCUAACACAUGCAAGUCGAACGAGUGGCGGACGGGUGAGUAAUGUCUGGGAAACUGCCUGAUGGCGGGGGAUAACUACUGGACACGGUCGCUAAUACCGCAUACCCUCGUCUGCCCCCAGAUGGGAUUAGAGAGUAGGUGGGGUACAGGCUCCACUAGGCGACGAUCUCUAGCUGGUCUGAGAGGAUGACCAGCCACACUGGGACUGAGACACGGUCCAGACUCCUACGGGAGGCAGCAGUGGGGAAUAGUGCACAAUGGGCGCAAGCCUGAUGCAGCCAUGCCGAGUGUAUGAAGAAGGCCUUCGGGUUGUAAAGUACUUUCAGCGGUGAGGCGUUACCCGCAGAAGAAGCACCGGCGAACUCCGUGCCAGCAGCCGCGGUAAUAC